GAGGGCAGAGCUCAGUGGUAGAGCGUGUGCUUAGCAUUCCCAAUGUCCUGGGUUCCAUCCCCAGUCCCUCCA
rnacentral:tRNA from 1 species